rnacentral:lncRNA from 1 species
UCAGAGAUUUCAAGAAAUAAAUAAUAAUAAAGGAUUUUACAUCAAAAUAGAAAAAAACAUAAAAUUAUAGCUUCCACAGCAGUUAUGGUAGUAGGUAAAUACAGAUUGGCAUAAAAAUAUGCCUCCGGACAUAAUCCUUGAGGACAGAAGAAAUAUGACUGCGGACAUCAUCCACGAGAAGAGAAGAAGAAAUAUAACUGCGAACAUAAUUUUUAAGAGAGAGG